rnacentral:rRNA from 1 species
GACGAACGCUGGCGGCGUGCUUAACACAUGCAAGUCGAACGGAAAGGCCCCCUUGUGGGGUACUCGAGUGGCGAACGGGUGAGUAACACGUGAGUAACCUACCCUUGACUUUGGGAUAACUUCAGGAAACUGGGGCUAAUACCGGAUAGGAGCUCCUGCUGCAUGGUGGGGGUUGGAAAGUUUCGGCGGUUGGGGAUGGACUCGCGGCUUAUCAGCUUGUUGGUGGGGUAGUGGCUCACCAAGGCUUUGACGGGUAGCCGGCCUGGGAGGGUGACCGGCCACAUUGGGACUGAGGUACGGCCCAGAGGCCUACGGGAGGCAGCAGUGGGGAAUAUUGCACAAUGGGCGGAAGCCGGAUGCAGCAACGCCGCGUGCGGGAUGACGGCUUGCGGGUAGUAAACCGCUUUCGCCUGUGACGAAGCGUGAGUGACGGUAAUGGGAAAAGAAGCACCGGCUAACUACGU